UAAUAAUUUUAAGUCUAAUCUGCCCAAUGAAAAAUUUUGAAUGGCUGCAGUAUCAAUAACUGUACAAAGGUAGCAUAAUAAUUAGUUUUUUAAUUGAAAACUAGAAUGAAAGAUUAAAUGAAAUAUAAACUUUAUAAAUAAAAUAAAAAUUUAAAUUAAAUUUUAAGUUAAAAUUCUUAAAUAUUAUUAAAAGACGAGAAGACCCUUUAGAAUUUUAUAUUAAUUAUAAUUAAAUUUAUAAUAAUUUUAAUAUAAAUUAUUAAUUAAUAUUUAAUUGGGGUAAUUUUAUAAUUAAAUAAACUUUUAAAUAAUUAUUACAUAAAUUAAUGAAUUUAUAAACCUA
rnacentral:rRNA from 1 species